rnacentral:pre_miRNA from 1 species
AGUAGAAUAGCUGGAAUAUAUGGUAGGUAUAUUUUAAAUUUUUUACCAAAGUGCCAAGUAGUUUCUCAAAGUGAUUGUAUCAUUUUGUAGUUCCACCAGCAAU